GACGAACGCUGGCGGCGUGCUUAACACAUGCAAGUCGAACGGAAAGGCCCUGCUUUUGUGGGGUGCUCGAGUGGCGAACGGGUGAGUAACACGUGAGUAACCUGCCCUUGACUUUGGGAUAACUUCAGGAAACUGGGGCUAAUACCGGAUAGGAGCUCCUGCUGCAUGGUGGGGGUUGGAAAGUUUCGGCGGUUGGGGAUGGACUCGCGGCUUAUCAGCUGUUGGUGGGGUAUUGGCUUACCAAGGCUUUGACGGGUAGCCGGCCUGAGAGGGUGACCGGCCACAUUGGGACUGAGAUACGGCCCAGACUCCUACGGGAGGCAGCAGUGGGGAAUAUUGCACAAUGGGCGGAAGCCUGAUGCAGCAACGCCGCGUGCGGGAUGACGGCCUUCGGGUUGUAAACCGCUUUCGCCUGUGACGAAGCGUGAGUGACGGUAAUGGGUAAAGAAGCACCGGCUAACUACGUG
rnacentral:rRNA from 1 species